AACGUACAUAUAGUCUCUUUCACUGAUAUACGAGAUAAUU
rnacentral:guide_RNA from 1 species